rnacentral:rRNA from 1 species
AUUGAACGCUGGCGGCAUGCUUUACACAUGCAAGUCGAACGGUAACAGGCCGCAAGGUGCUGACGAGUGGCGAACGGGUGAGUAAUGCAUCGGAACGUGCCCAGUCGUGGGGGAUAACGCAGCGAAAGCUGUGCUAAUACCGCAUACGAUCUAUGGAUGAAAGCGGGGGACCGUAAGGCCUCGCGCGAUUGGAGCGGCCGAUGUCAGAUUAGGUAGUUGGUGGGGUAAAGGCCUACCAAGCCGACGAUCUGUAGCUGGUCUGAGAGGACGACCAGCCACACGGGGACUGAGACACGGCCCAGACUCCUACGGGAGUCAGCAGUGGGGAAUUUUGGACAAUGGGCGCAAGCCUGAUCCAGCAAUGCCGCGUGCAGGAAGAAGGCCUUCGGGUUGUAAACUGCUUUUGUACGGAACGAAACGGUCCGGGUUAAUACCCUGGGCUAAUGACGGUACCGUAAGAAUAAGCACCGGCUAACUACGUACCAGCCGCCGCCGUAAUAC